GGGUGUUGUAGAGAUACUGGAGACAGCACGGAAAGUGUGCAGUAAAUGGAGGUGAAUAUGCAAGGAACCUUCAAUGUGGCGAGUCAUUAACAUGCGGAAUGAAGGAACCUCUCUCACUUAGAGAAAAUUUGCCGCCGUGCCGUUGAUCGAAGCCGAGGUGAAGUUGUUGAUAUCAAUUUGCACCACUUUGCCACUGAUAAGUUACUUCACUACAUAGCAGCAAGAUCAGGAAAACUGAAGAGGCUUAGUAUUGCAUGUUGCUAUUUAAGGUAUGUGAAAGCUUGGUUGAAGCAGCUCAAAAGCUCCCAUUGUUGGAGGAAUUGAGUCUGACACACACUGCCAUCACGAUAGAAGGAAUUGAAGCUCUUGGAUGCUCUUGCCCACGGUUGAAGUCAUUUGAAUUUAAUAAGUCAUUGUAUAUGGGAUCAGGUGAUGACUCUGAUAACGAAGAUGAAAGAAAUGAAGAGGCUCUAGCUAUUGCUAAACACCUGCCUACCUUGCACCACCUCCAUCUCAUUGGGAACAGUAUGACAAAUAAAGGCCUCCAAGCUAUUCUUGAUGGUUGUCCUCAUCUUGUAUCUCUUGACUAGCGUCUGUGCAAAUAUGUUAGCCUCAACAAAGUCUUGAAUAGUAGAAUUUCCAGGAAGAUUAAAGAUGUGAAGCACCCUCAUGACUCUUUGGCGGAUCUUGAAUUUUCAUUUGUGGCUUUUCGGGUUGAUGAUUUGUUUGAUAGCACGUCCGAUGAUUACUGAAGCUGCGGACCUUUUGGGUCAUUGGUUUAUGAACAGUUCCUUCAGGUGUUCGCAGCGAUAAUAUUUUGUUUUAUGCAUUUCCCAUCCUCUUGUUUCAAUAUUUUUGUUAAAGAUCUCCUCGCAACAUGUUCUUUUAUGUAAUGACUAUGUAGUGUUGUGUUUCCAAGAAAAGAUUUGUGAUCAUUGUUCACUUAUUGGAAUGUUUGGAUUUUA